UACAGAGGUCCCAAGCGUUGUCCGGAGUUACUGGGCGUAAAGGGCAUGCAGGCGGUCGGACGCGUUUUGUGUGACAGCGGAUGGCUUACCUAUCCGAGCAUACGAAAGACGGUUGGACUUGAGGACUCGAGAGGGACCCGGAAUUCCGGGUGGAGUGGUGAAAUGCGUAGAGAUCCGGAGGAAAACCGAAGGGGAAGGCAGUGUCCUGGCGAGUGACUGACGCUGAGGUGCGAAAGCCAGGGGAGCGAACGGG
rnacentral:rRNA from 1 species